rnacentral:rRNA from 1 species
AGUGAACGCUGGCGGCAUGCCUAACACAUGCAAGUCGAACGGCAGCACAGUAACAGCCUGCUGUUACGGGUGGGCAAAGGGGGGAGGGAGACGUAGACACAGGUACUGAAGUGUGGGAGGGGGCGACCAAAGGGGGAUUAAUACUGCAUACGAUCUACAGAUAAAAGCGAAAGACGUUCGUGCCUCGCCCUUGAGCGUUGGACGAUGCCGGAUUAGCUAGUUGGAGGGGUAAAGGCCUACCAAGGCGAAGAUCAGUAGCUGGUCUGAGAGGACGACCAGCCACACUGGGACUGAGACACGGUCCAGACUCCUACGGGAGGCAGCAGUGGGGAAUUUUGGACAAUGGGCGAAAGCCUGAUCCAGCAAUGCCGCGUGUGUGAAGAAGGCCUUCGGGUUGUAAAGCACUUUUGUCGGGAAAGAAAACCUUGGCACUAAUACGCUCGGGGGCUGACGGUACCGGAAGAAUAAGCACCGGCUAACUACGUG